GCCUGGCUAGCUCAGUUGUUAGAGCAUGUGACUCUUGAUCCCAGGAUCAUGAAUUCAAGCCCCAUGUUGGGUG
rnacentral:tRNA from 1 species